rnacentral:tRNA from 6 species
GCGCCCGUAGCUCAGUUGGAUAGAGCACCUGGCUACGAACCAGGGGGUCGCGGGUUCGAAUCCUACCGGGCGCACCA